UCUGAUACCAUGUGAUUGUAUGAAACCAUAGGUCUGAUACCAUGUGAUUGUAUGAAACCAUAGGUCUGAUACCAUGUGAUUGUAUGAAACCAUAGGUCUGAUACCAUAGGUCUGAUACCAUAUGAUGGUAUGAAACCAUAGGUCUGAUACCAUGUGAUGGUAUGAAACCAUAGGUCUGAUACCAUGUGAUGGUAUGAAACCAUAGGUCUGAUACCAUGUGAUGGUAUGAAACCAUAGGUCUGAUACCAUAGGUCUGAUACCAUAGGUCUGAUACCAUGUGAUUGUAUGAAACCAUAGGUCUGAUACCAUGUGAUGGUAUGAAACCAUAGGUCUGAUACCAUGUGAUGGUAUGAAACCAUAGGUCUGAUACCAUGUGAUGGUAUGAAACCAUAGGUCUGAUACCAUGUGAUGGUCUGAUACCAUGUGAUGGUAUGAAAUUCAUUUGAAUCGUUAGAUUAUUAUAAUACAUGUGGGUAAGUGUUAGACUCAUUCGAUGACUGUUCCACUGGAUGUCAUAAGGUGAAUGCACCUAUUUGUAAGUCGCUCUGGAUAAGAGCGUCUGCUAAAUGACUUAAAUGUAAAAUGUAAAUUAUAAAACUGUGUGUGGUUUUAGUCAGAAUCAACGUUUUGGGAACAGUGUGUCUGAGCCAGAUCCGGGGAGACCUUGGCUGGGACACCGUCCCAGGUCUCUCCCCAUCUUAGGGGAGGGUAGGAAGACACUAUUCUCACGGACUUCCAUCGGCUCUGUCGCUCUGUUGCCGGGCGGAUUUGUGUGUCGCUAUAAAUUGAAGUAUCCCGCACUGUACACGUCAGAACGUUCCCGUGAAUAAACAGUUAACUGUGGUAGACUGGGCCUCUGUCUGUUUUUCGUUUCUAUCAGGAUCUUACAAAUCUAACCUACUUUAAUUGGUAAAUUAACAGGAGUAUAGAAUUCCCCUGACACACACAGACUACCCUAUAAGGAUAAUGUAGUUUCUAAUGGCAGCUCGCAGGACCCCGGUCGGCCUUCAACUUGAGCUACUCCAUGAGAGGGCAGCACUGAGCUAGCCUGCAGCGUCACGACACGCAU